rnacentral:rRNA from 1 species
UGCUGUGAACUCGAAGAGUAGGGCGGGACACGUGGUAUCCUGUCUGAAUAUGGGGGGACCAUCCUCCAAGGCUAAAUACUCCUGACUGACCGAUAGUGAACCAGUACCGUGAGGGAAAGGCGAAAAGAACCCCGGCGAGGGGAGUGAAAAAGAACCUGAAACCGUGUACGUACAAGCAGUGGGAGCCUCUUUAUGGGGUGACUGCGUACCUUUUGUAUAAUGGGUCAGCGACUUAUAUUCUGUAGCAAGGUUAACCGUAUAGGGGAGCCGAAGGGAAACCGAGUCUUAACUGGGCGUUAAGUUGCAGGGUAUAGACCCGAAACCCGGUGAUCUAGCCAUGGGCAGGUUGAAGGUUGGGUAACACUAACUGGAGGACCGAACCGACUAAUGUUGAAAAAUUAGCGGAUGACCUGUGGCUGGGGGUGAAAGGCCAAUCAAACCGGGAGAUAGCUGGUUCUCCCCGAAAGCUAUUUAGGUAGCGCCUCGUGAACUCAUCUUCGGGGGUAGAGCACUGUUUCGGCUAGGGGGCCAUCCCGGCUUACCAACCCGAUGCAAACUACGAAUACCGAAGAAUGUUAUCACGGGAGACACACGGCGGGUGCUAACGUCCGUCGUGAAGAGGGAAACAACCCAGACCGCCAGCUAAGGUCCCAAAGUCAUGGUUAAGUGGGAAACGAUGUGGGAAGGCACAGACAGCCAGGAUGUUGGCUUAGAAGCAGCCAUCAUUUAAAGAAAGCGUAAUAGCUCACUGGUCGAGUCGGCCUGCGCGGAAGAUGUAACGGGGCUAAACCAUGCACCGAAGCUGCGGCAGCGACGCUUAUGCGUUGUUGGGUAGGGGAGCGUUCUGUAAGCCGUUGAAGGUGUCCUGUGAGGGGUGCUGGAGGUAUCAGAAGUGCGAAUGCUGACAUAAGUAACGAUAAAGCGGGUGAAAAGCCCGCUCGCCGGAAGACCAAGGGUUCCUGUCCAACGUUAAUCGGGGCAGGGUGAGUCGACCCCUAAGGCGAGGCCGAAAGGCGUAGUCGAUGGGAAACAGGUUAAUAUUCCUGUACUUGGUGUUACUGCGAAGGGGGGACGGAGAAGGCUAUGUCAGCCGGGCGACGGUUGUCCCGGUUUAAGCAUGUAGGCGGAGGUUCCAGGUAAAUCCGGUACCUUAUUAACGCUGAGGUGUGAUGACGAGGCACUACGGUGCUGAAGUGAUAAAUGCCCUGCUUCCAGGAAAAGCCUCUAAGCAUCAGGUAACACGAAAUCGUACCCCAAACCGACACAGGUGGUCAGGUAGAGAAUACCAAGGCGCUUGAGAGAACUCGGGUGAAGGAACUAGGCAAAAUGGUGCCGUAACUUCGGGAGAAGGCACGCUGAUAUGUAGGUGAAGUCCCUGCGGACGGAGCUGAAAUCAGUCGAAGAUACCAGCUGGCUGCAACUGUUUAUUAAAAACACAGCACUGUGCAAACACGAAAGUGGACGUAUACGGUGUGACGCCUGCCCGGUGCCGGAAGGUUAAUUGAUGGGGUUAGCGGCAACGCGAAGCUCUUGAUCGAAGCCCCGGUAAACGGCGGCCGUAACUAUAACGGUCCUAAGGUAGCGAAAUUCCUUGUCGGGUAAGUUCCGACCUGCACGAAUGGCGUAAUGAUGGCCAGGCUGUCUCCACCCGAGACUCAGUGAAAUUGAACUCGCUGUGAAGAUGCAGUGUACCCGCGGCAAGACGGAAAGACCCCGUGAACCUUUACUAUAGCUUGACACUGAACACUGGUCCUUGAUGUGUAGGAUAGGUGGGAGGCUUUGAAGCGUGGACGCCAGUCUGCGUGGAGCCAACCUUGAAAUACCACCCUUUAAUGGCUGGUGUUCUAACGUAGACCCGUAAUCCGGGUUGCGGACAGUGUCUGGUGGGUAGUUUGACUGGGGCGGUCUCCUCCCAAAGAGUAACGGAGGAGCACGAAGGUUGGCUAAUCCUGGUCGGACAUCAGGAGGUUAGUGCAAUGGCAUAAGCCAGCUUGACUGCGAGCGUGACGGCGCGAGCAGGUGCGAAAGCAGGUCAUAGUGAUCCGGUGGUUCUGAAUGGAAGGGCCAUCGCUCAACGGAUAAAAGGUACUCCGGGGAUAACAGGCUGAUACCGCCCAAGAGUUCAUAUCGACGGCGGUGUUUGGCACCUCGAUGUCGGCUCAUCACAUCCUGGGGCUGAAGUAGGUCCCAAGGGUAUGGCUGUUCGCCAUUUAAAGUGGUACGCGAGCUGGGUUUAGAACGUCGUGAGACAGUUCGGUCCCUAUCUGCCGUGGGCGCUGGAGAAUUGAGGGGGGCUGCUCCUAGUACGAGAGGACCGGAGUGGACGCAUCACUGGUGUUCGGGUUGUCAUGCCAAUGGCACUGCCCGGUAGCUAAAUGCGGAAGAGAUAAGUGCUGAAAGCAUCUAAGCACGAAACUUGCCCCGAGAUGAGUUCUCCCUGAGACUUUAAGUCUCCUGAAGGAACGUUGAAGACGACGACGUUGAUAGGUCGGGUGUGUAAGCGCAGCGAUGCGUUGAGCUAACCGAUACUAAUGAACCGUGAGGCUUAACCUU